UGAUCCUGGCUCAGAUUGAACGCUGGCGGCAGGCCUAACACAUGCAAGUCGAGCGGCAGCGGGAAAGUAGCUUGCUACUUUUGCCGGCGAGCGGCGGACGGGUGAGUAAUGCCUGGGAAAUUGCCCAGUCGAGGGGGAUAACAGUUGGAAACGACUGCUAAUACCGCAUACGCCCUACGGGGGAAAGCAGGGGACCUUCGGGCCUUGCGCGAUUGGAUAUGCCCAGGUGGGAUUAGCUUGUUGGUGAGGUAAUGGCUCACCAAGGCGACGAUCCCUAGCUGGUCUGAGAGGAUGAUCAGCCACACUGGAACUGAGACACGGUCCAGACUCCUACGGGAGGCAGCAGUGGGGAAUAUUGCACAAUGGGGGAAACCCUGAUGCAGCCAUGCCGCGUGUGUGAAGAAGGCCUUCGGGUUGUAAAGCACUUUCAGCGAGGAGGAAAGGUUGAUGCCUAAUACGCAUCAGCUGUGACGUUACUCGCAGAAGAAGCACCGGCUAACU
rnacentral:rRNA from 1 species